rnacentral:rRNA from 1 species
AAAGAAAAUUCGAUUCCCUUAGUAGCGGCGAGCGAAACGGGAAGAGCCCAAACCAACAAGCUUGCUUGUUGGGGUUGUAGGACACUCUAUACGGAGUUACAAAGGACGACAUUAGACGAAUCAUCUGGAAAGAUGAAUCAAAGAAGGUAAUAAUCCUGUAGUCGAAAAUGUUGUCUCUCUUGAGUGGAUCCUGAGUACGACGGAACACGUGAAAUUCCGUCGGAAUCUGGGAGGACCAUCUCCUAAGGCUAAAUACUCUCUAGUGACCGAUAGUGAACCAGUACCGUGAGGGAAAGGUGAAAAGCACCCCGGAAGGGGAGUGAAAUAGAACCUGAAACCGUGUGCUUACAAGUAGUCAGAGCCCGUUAAUGGGUGAUGGCGUGCCUUUUGUAGAAUGAACCGGCGAGUUACGAUUUGAUGCAAGGUUAAGCAGUAAAUGUGGAGCCGUAGCGAAAGCGAGUCUGAAUAGGGCGUUUAGUAUUUGGUCGUAGACCCGAAACCAGGUGAUCUACCCUUGGUCAGGUUGAAGUUCAGGUAACACUGAAUGGAGGACCGAACCGACUUACGUUGAAAAGUGAGCGGAUGAACUGAGGGUAGCGGAGAAAUUCCAAUCGAACCUGGAGAUAGCUGGUUCUCUCCGAAAUAGCUUUAGGGCUAGCCUCAAGUGAUGAUUAUUGGAGGUAGAGCACUGUUUGGACGAGGGGCCCCUCUCGGGUUACCGAAUUCAGACAAACUCCGAAUGCCAAUUAAUUUAACUUGGGAGUCAGAACAUGGGUGAUAAGGUCCGUGUUCGAAAGGGAAACAGCCCAGACCACCAGCUAAGGUCCCAAAAUAUAUGUUAAGUGGAAAAGGAUGUGGCGUUGCCCAGACAACUAGGAUGUUG